GCAAGACCGGCGGCAGCGGCUUGUCUUGCUUGCUUCCUUCGCCAGCCUGGGAGCUCUGCCCGCAGCCGCUCGGAGGAGCCUCUUGGCAGCUUCCCGCGUCAAGGUGAUGGUGAACUGAAACAGGACUCUGUAUCAUGCCUUGAAGUGCGUGUCACAUGUUUGGGACCCUUCAUCAUAGAUACCAGGGAAAGAGCUAUCCCAUGGACAGUUUAAGAAGCGGUUCCAAAAAAGAAAGCUGUCUUAUAUUAAUACCAAACAUUUUGUAACUGUUGGUGUAUCCUGCUCCAAAGGAACUAGCAGAACAUUGGUGA